GGGGAUGUAGCUCAGUGGUUCCGGCGCCUGCUUUGCAAGAGCAGGAACCCGAGUUUGAUCCCCGGUACCCCCC
rnacentral:tRNA from 1 species